GAUGAACGCUGGCGGCGUGCCUAAUACAUGCAAGUCGAGCGAACAGACGAGUAUCUUGUUCCUCUGACGUUAGCGGCGUACGGGUGAGUAACACGUGGAUAACCUACCUAUAAGACUGGGAUAACUUCGGGAAACCGGAGCUAAUACCGGAUAAUAUAUUGCACCGCAUGGUUCAAUAGUGAAAUACGGUUUUGCUGUCACUUAUAGAUGGAUCCGCGCCGCAUUAGCUAGUUGGUAAGGUAACGGCUUACCAAGGCAACGAUGCGUAGCCUACCUGAGAGGGUGAUCGGCCACACUGGAACUGAGACACGGUCCAGACUCCUACGGGAGGCAGCAGUAGGGAAUCUUCCGCAAUGGGCGAAAGCCUGACGGAGCAACGCCGCGUGAGUGAUGAAGGUCUUCGGAUCGUAAAACUCUGUUAUUAGGGAAGAACAAAUGUGUAAGUAACUAUGCACGUCUUGACGGUACCUAAUCAGAAAGCCACGGCUAACUACGUG
rnacentral:rRNA from 1 species